GCAUUGUAUCAUAGGUAAGGUUAGCAAGGAUGGAAGUGGUCCUAGUAACCUAUAUAACACUCAUAUGUUCAGGAAUUGCCAACAACUAUGCAGCAUCUAGCCAUGAUUUUUA
rnacentral:ncRNA from 1 species